AUCAAGUGACAGCCUCGGCACAGCAACAGACUCGUUGAGCGAGCUAACCCAGUAGCAUAAACAGGCCAGCAAUGGCAGAGAGAGGCAACCUGGAAAAACAGCGUGUAGAGACAAAAAUCUUAACAUAACUCAGUGAAUUAAGGGUUUGUUUCAAACAGCCAGUGUUAAUUCAGAAGGUUUGUGUAUACAUUUGAUAAUUAGCAUUAAAUGAAAAGUACAGCUCAGGCUGAGGUCAUUAAAAGAAAAAGAAAUUGGCCAAACUGAAAUUUUCACCAGAUGGUAGUGCUAAAGCAAACAUCCAGGGAUCACCAGCUUUGUUUAGAUAUUUCAGGCUGGACCAGAGUGGUUGAUGGACCUAAACACAGACAAACAUCCCCACAGCCAUGCCGCCAGCAACUGUAAAACAGCAAGGACACAAACUGGGGCUGCAGGAGAGCUUGAGAGAUUGACAGGAUGGGGGGGGGACCACAGGUCGGAUUCGAACCCACACCCGCUGCAGCAAGGACACAGAUCAGGACAGGUUUGCAGACUGUGUAUCAAACUCUAAAGGUGCAACCAGAUUAGUCUAAUGCACUUACUGGAAAUACACAAGAUGGCAGCACGUGGCGUGGUGGCCCCCUGAAACUUCACAGAACACAACCUCGAGAAAGAAAGUGCAGGAAUAGUAUGAAGUGCAGCAGGCCUUGAGACGAUCGCUGCCCACAACUCUUGGGAACUUUGGCACUUCUAUGAUUUGUGCUCUAUUUUGUCUGAAUGUCCUGUCAGUCUGUCACUUUGUGUUGUGUUGCUGCUUGAGAAUGAGACCCUGUGCCUCAAUGAGAUAAAUAAAAUGAAAACACAACUAUCAUCCACAUCCUAGAGCUAAGCUAACCCAACUUGGACCUGAGACCACUCCACUAUCCCACCAACCUACCCUCAUCUUUACAGUGACCUGUCUCCACUACAACAUCCUGGAUCAUUCAGGAUUUAGUACCACAGAACCAAAAACUCCAGCUGUUUAUAUUGUUAUUAUCAUCAAGUG